rnacentral:rRNA from 1 species
AACGAACGCUGGCGGCAGGCUUAACACAUGCAAGUCGAACGAGAUCUUCGGAUCUAGUGGCAGACGGGUGAGGAACACGUGGGAACAUCCCUUUCAGUUCGGAAUAACGUUGGGAAACUAACGCUAAUACCGGAUACGUCCUUCGGGAGAAAGAUUUAUCGCUGAAAGAUUGGCCCGCGUCUGAUUAGCUAGUUGGUGAGGUAAUGGCUCACCAAGGCUACGAUCAGUAGCUGAUCUGAGAGGAUGAUCAGCCACAUUGGGACUGAGACACGGCCCAAACUCCUACGGGAGGCAGCAGUGGGGAAUAUUGGACAAUGGGCGCAAGCCUGAUCCAGCCAUGCCGCGUGAGUGAUGACGGCCUUCGGGUUGUAAACCCCUUUUCUCGGGGAAGAAAUAUGACGGUACUCGAGGAAUAAGUCUUAGCUAACUACGUGCCAGCAGCCGCGGUAA